rnacentral:rRNA from 1 species
GCUCGCGGCCUAUCAGCUUGUUGGUGAGGUAAUGGCUCACCAAGGCGUCGACGGGUAGCCGGCCUGAGAGGGUGACCGGCCACACUGGGACUGAGACACGGCCCAGACUCCUACGGGAGGCAGCAGUGGGGAAUAUUGCACAAUGGGCGGAAGCCUGAUGCAGCAACGCCGCGUGAGGGAUGACGGCCUUCGGGUUGUAAACCUCUUUUAGCAGGGAAGAAGCGAGAGUGACGGUACCUGCAGAAAAAGCGCCGGCUAACUACGUGCCAGCAGCCGCGGUAAUACGUAGGGCGCAAGCGUUAUCCGGAAUUAUUGGGCGUAAAGAGCUCGUAGGCGGUUUGUCGCGUCUGCUGUGAAAUCCCGAGGCUCAACCUCGGGCCUGCAGUGGGUACGGGCAGACUAGAGUGCGGUAGGGGAGAUUGGAAUUCCUGGUGUAGCGGUGGAAUGCGCAGAUAUCAGGAGGAACACCGAUGGCGAAGGCAGAUCUCUGGGCCGUAACUGACGCUGAGGAGCGAAAGGGUGGGGAGCAAACAGGCUUAGAUACCCUGGUAGUCCACCCCGUAAACGUUGGGAACUAGUUGUGGGG